GGGAAUGUAGCUCAGUGGUAGAGCAUAUGCUUUGCAUGUAUGAAGCCCUGGGUUCAAUCCCUGGCAUCUCCA